GGGCGAGCACCCUGCGCCGGGGCACAUGCUGCCCCCGCCCCUGCGCGCCUGCGGCUCCCGGCUCUCCCUCCCCUGCGCCGCGCUCUCGCCUCGCUUUCCGCGGGAGCCUUCCAACCGGUCCUGGGGAGAAGGACGGGAGCUGUGGGAAGAGCGAGGGUGUAGAGAGGGAAGUUAGGGCUUCCGCUUUCUCCCCCCACUCCAGCGGCGGCGUUCAGUCCUCUGGGUGGAAUGUGCUCUCAGCGGCAGUGACGGCGGCCACAGUACUGGAGGCACCCGAGCCAUACACCCUGCAGUUGGAGAGGAAAGGAUGGCCGAGGUGGGAGAGACUAGAGUGAACCAGCAGGAGGAAGUCCUAGGGCCGCGAAGCUACGGCGGAGAUCUGUCCUGGAAAAGCCUUCUCCACCCUGGGCACUUUAAGCGGCGGUGGCGGCAAACAGCAGGAGGUUGCAGACCCGACAGCGAGCCUGCCUCAUUCCAGUCUUGCUCUGCCCUCCGGAGAUGACAAGUGAGAAAGAAGUGUCCGGCCGGGCCAUCCCCUUCAGUUAUCAAGAAUAACUGUAGAAUGUGCUGGGAAUGCAAUGUCCUGAGAUAAGGAGGAACUGCCUGAAACAGCCUGGACCUUAUUCCUGUACUUCCUAGGGAAUGUAACAUCUCAAGUUAAAGAGGAACUGCCUGGGACAGCCCUGGGAUUGUUCCUCUCUCCUGGGAAGGAAGAUCACCUCCAAAGCUUAUCCACUGAGUCACACUACCCCUGUGGCGGCAGGCUGCCUCUCCAGGUUCCUCAGCUGUGGUGCAACUGAAGCAAGCACAAUCAAGACUCCAUCUGUUCAAGGCAGCUUUCUCAAACCUUGGGGAACCUACUCACAAUGGAUCACAGGCUUCUUUUGUUUCUUGCUGCUUAUCUUGGGAAGCAAAAAUCAGCUGAGCGAAGAUGAGGAAGAAGGUGUUAAAAGUUUGAAGAGAAAAAAUGAAAAGGAUAUACUAAUCCAAGGGGAUGCGUAAGUAGAACAUAGAUAAUGAAAAUGCUGGCCCUUAGGAUUGUUGGGCGUAAAUGCUCAUAUGAUAUUGAUGGUCACAAAUUUGAACUUUCUCUAAAGCCAAUUUUUGCAUGUGUGUGCAGGCCUGGAGUAGUUGGAGAGGUGGAUUUAAUAGGAUUGAGGAUCAAGCAACUACAACCAGAGAAGAGUGGGACAAGGGAGAUAAAGGAUAUUGGCAGGGGAACAAUUAUAAACAUGGACCAUGAUCAAAACUGAAUUUGAAGGAAAAUAGGGAUAAGAGGGGUGGAAGGUAAAAAAUAGUGAAAAUGAGAUAGAAUUAAUAGACUGUAGGUCCCUGUAAAGUUGAAGAAGUAUUAUUAUGCAGUACUCGUUAUUGAAAUGAGGUCACUAUGCUUAAGGCACAGUGAAUCCUAGAAAACAGUGGCUUUUGUUUCUCAUUAGGCAAUACAUUCCUCUUUGCUCCAGAAUGCAACAUACAUGCAUCCUUUUCUGUACUAUUAUUUAUUAAGAAUUCAUACUUAAUUCCACUGACUGCCACUCAAUUUUAAUGUACAGUAGGGAAUUCCUGUACUAUAUAUUAUGAAUCCAUUCCUUUGAAUUUCAUUUAUAAUACUUCAUGACUGACACCUGGCUUUCCACCAAGACUCAAUUUUCAUAGCAAACCUCAUCAUCAUAAGCCCCCAAAUUAACAGGAUGAGGAGGAAGAAUUGGCAGGCUAAAGAAGAUGAUUAUAUCAAUUAAUGCAGAGAAAGCACUUGAUAAAAUCCAAUAUUCGUUUGUAAUUAAAAACUCUCAACAAGUUAGGAAUAGAUAGGAAUUACUUCAACUUAAUGAAGAGUAUCUUUAAAAACCUUGAGUAUUUUCAUCAAUUAUAACAAAUGUACCACUCUGGUGGUGAAUGUUGAUAAGGAGGGAAGCUAUACAUGUGUGGGGAAAGGAGAUAUGUGAGCAAUUUCUGUACCUUCUACUCAAUUUUCUGUGAGCCUAAACUUGCUGUAAAAAAUAAAGUUCAUUUUUU